GACGAACGCUGGCGGCGUGCCUAAUACAUGCAAGUCGAACGAGAGCAACCGGUGCUUGCACUGGUCAAUCUAGUGGCGAACGGGUGAGUAACACGUGGGUAACCUGCCCAUCAGAGGGGGAUAACAUCCGGAAACGGAUGCUAAAACCGCAUAGGUCUUCGAACCGCAUGGUUUGAAGAGGAAAAGAGGCGCAAGCUUCUGCUGAUGGAUGGACCCGCGGCGCAUUAGCUAGUUGGUGAGGUAACGGCUCACCAAGGCCGUGAUGCAUAGCCGACCUGAGAGGGUGAUCGGCCACAUUGGGACUGAGACACGGCCCAAACUCCUACGGGAGGCAGCAGUAGGGAAUCUUCCGCAAUGGACGCAAGUCUGACGGAGCAACGCCGCGUGAGUGAAGAAGGUGUUCGGAUCGUAAAACUCUGUUGUUAGAGAAGAACAAGUGCUAGAGUAACUGUUAGCGCCUUGACGGUAUCUAACCAGAAAGCCACGGCUAACUACGUG
rnacentral:rRNA from 1 species